UACGUAGGGUGCAAGCGUUGUCCGGAAUUAUUGGGCGUAAAGAGCUCGUAGGCGGUCUGUCGCGUCUGCUGUGAAAACUCAGGGCUUAACCCUGAGCUUGCAGUGGGUACGGGCAGACUAGAGUGCGGUAGGGGAGACUGGAAUUCCUGGUGUAGCGGUGGAAUGCGCAGAUAUCAGGAGGAACACCAAUGGCGAAGGCAGAUCUCUGGGCCGUAACUGACGCUGAGGAGCGAAAGCAUGGGGAGCGAACAGG
rnacentral:rRNA from 1 species